CUGCUGCCUUCCGUAGGAGUCUGGUCCGUGUCUCAGUACCAGUGUGGGGGACCUUCCUCUCAGAACCCCUACGCAUCGUCGCCUCGGUGGGCCGUUACCCCGCCGACUAGCUAAUGCGACGCAUGGCCAUCCUAUGCCGGAGUCGCCUCCUUUGACCCCAAGAAGAUGUCUCCUAAAGGUGUUAUGCGGUAUUAGACGGAAUUUCUUCCGCUUAUCCCCCUGCAUAGGGCAGGUUCCAUACGUGUUACUCACCCGUGCGCCGG
rnacentral:rRNA from 1 species